UACAGAGGUCUCAAGCGUUGUUCGGAUUCAUUGGGCGUAAAGGGUGCGUAGGCGGCGCGGUAAGUCGGGUGUGAAAACUCGAGGCUUAACCUCGAGCUGUCGGCGGAAACCAUCUGGCUAGAGUCCGGAAGAGGAAAGUGGAAUUCCUGGUGUAGCGGUGAAAUGCGCAGAUAUCAGGAAGAACACCAAUGGCGAAAGCAGCUUUCUGGGACGGUACUGACGCUGAGACGCGAAAGCGUGGGGAGCGAACAGG
rnacentral:rRNA from 1 species